rnacentral:pre_miRNA from 1 species
UGAAAACAUGUUUACAAACAAGAGUUAUUGUGCGCUGGUCAUUGAACUCAGCGCACAAUAACAUUUAUUUUGUAAACAUGUUUU